CCAACCUUGUUCCACCUCCAGACCCUCUUUCCACCUCACAGAAGCCCCACUCACACCUUUCUCCCCAUAGACUCCCCACAAGCCCCCUGUCCACCCCUGGAGUUGUGCAGAAUCUGGAAAUGUCCCAGAGGGGCUUGCAGCAUCCAGUUGGUCCCCAGAAAUGGAUGGUUCUCACCAAAUGCCACCACCAGGACAACCGCCUGCCCCCACAGUUCUGUCACUGUCACCAUGGAACCUCGCUGUGGACCAGCCAUGACGCAGUGCCUCUGUCCCUGGCUGUCACUCUUGUUACCGUCAUCCGGUGUCACCACCACGUGUGUGUCACCAUCUCUCAGGUGACACCAUUCCCUGCGCUCUGACCACCACAUGGGGGCAGACACAGGCGGCCCCGCGUUGUCACUGUGCUGUCACUGAGCCUCUCGCUGUCCUUUCUCACCCCUCCAGCCUUGUCUACAGCCGGACCCGCUGACACCAGAGCCCUCUGGCACUGUCACCAUCAUCUGCCACGAGGACGGGGACAUGCACAGUGAUGGACUCUGUGCCAUCACCAGCCAACAUCAGGUGUCACUGUCAUGCAGAAGGCACACAAGCACCCCCUGAGGACCUGCCGAAAACUUCUCCAUAGCUGGGCUUUCCAACAAGUCCUCCUGUAUUGCUUCUCUUAUGCCCAGCUCAUGAAUGUAAUUCUGAAGGUCCUCCAUGGAGGACCACAAUCCUGUGCUUAA